rnacentral:lncRNA from 1 species
UGGGGGAUGUGCUCCUCAAGAUACGAGCCCAGGGUGUAAUUUAACCCAUUUCUCACAGUACACCAACACCCCAGCUCUACCCUAGAGAACCACCCUACGUCGAAGUUCAUAUUGUGGGCUACAUGGACUAAGGGUCUGACUCAAAACAAGGUAGUUUUACAUGCUCACUAGCUCUUACUGCUUUUAACCUGACUCAGAAUAAGGUAGUUUUUCUACGUGCCUUUGAAGGUGACCCGGAAACUGCAAUUAAUCCAGAAUGCAGCAGCUAGACUGGUGACUGGGAGUGGCUGCCGGGACCACAUAACACCGGUCCUGAGAGAUCUGCAUUGGCUCCCAGUACGUUUCCGUGCACAAUUCAAAGUGUUGGUGCUGGCCUUUAAAGCCCUAAAUGGCCUCAGCCCAGUAUACCUGAAGGGCGUCUCCACCCCCAUUGUUCUGCCCAGACACUGAGGUCCAGCUCCAAGGGUCUUCUGGCGGUUCCCUCAUUGCAAGAAGUGAGGUUUCAGGGAACCAGGCAGAGGGCCUUCUCGGUAGUGGCGCCUGCCCUGUGGAACACCCUCCCACCAGAUGUCAAGGAAAUAAACAACUAUCUGACUUUUAGAAGACAUCUGAAGGCAGCCCUGUUUAGGGAAGUCGUUAAUGUUUGACGUUUGAUCGUGUUUUUAAUAUUCUGUUGGGAGCUGCCCAGAGUGGCUGGUAAAACCCAGCCAGAUGGGUGGGGUAUAAAUAAAUUAUUAUUAUUAUUACUACUACCUGCUCACUAGCUUUUACUGCUUUUAACCUAUUUCACACACCAUUCACACACCUCCCUGCAGCGGAGCUCCAAUAAACACACCCUCGGGAAGACUGACUCACCAUGGAGUUGUCAGCGACAGAGACGUCAAACUCAGUGCCAGGCCACGUGGUUCAAGCAAGGACCACCUUCAGGGCAAAUGGCACCCUGCGUGGCUCAGCUGCCGCUACAGCGCAGCUUCCAAGCUUACUUUACUUUCCCCGAGCCGAGCAGAAUCUCACCCCGUGUCCUCAUGCUCUCUUGCCUUCCAGCUAGGGUUUCUGUCCUUUUCCAUUUGCUGUCCUCAGCCAACCUGCGCUGUGCGCAGAGAAGAGUCUGUCAUCAGGGAUGAGCAAAGCAGCCAGAGGACACUGACGGCGUCCCGGCUCCUGCCCAAGGCACACUGACAGAGGCUGUUACUUAGAAGGAAGAAAAAAUAGAUUUCAUGGAAUCGCAGAGUUGGAAGGGACCCCAAAGGACAUCCAGUCCAACCCCCUGCAAAGCAGGAAUCUGAGCUAGAUCAUCCAUGACAGAUGGCCAUCUGAUCUCUGCUUAAUAACCUCCAGUGAAGGUGAGCUCAACACCUUUCAUGGGAGUCCAUUUCACUGCUGAACAGCUCGUAUCGUCAGAAAGUUCUUCCUGUUACAGUGGUACCUUGGGUUAAGUACUUAAUUCGUUCCGGAGGUCUGUACUUAACCUGAAACUGUUCUUAACCUGAAGCACCACUUUAGCUAAUGGGGCCUCCCACUGCCGCCGCACCGCAGGAGCACGAUUUCUGUUCUCAUCCUGAAGCAAAGUUCUUAACCUGAAGCACUAUUUCUGGGUUAGCGGAGUCUGUAACCUGAAGCGUAUGUAACCCGAGGUACCACUGUAUUUAGUCAGAAUCGCCUUCUUGUAACUUAGAAUCAUAGAAUCAUAGAAUCAUAGAGUUGGAAGAGACCACAAGGGCCAUCGAGUCCAACCCCCUACCAAGCAGGAAACACCAUCAGAGCACUCCUGACAUAUGGUUGUCAAGCCUCUGCUUAAAGACCUCCAAAGAAGGAGACUCCAUCACUUGAAGACAUUGGUUCGUGUCCUUCCCUGCAAAGCAGGAGAAAACAAGCCUGCUCCAUCUUCCAUGUGUCAGCCCUCAAGAGAUCUGAACCACAUAACAAGACCACAUAACACCAGUCUUGAAAGACCUACACUGGCUCCCAGUACAUUUCCGAGCACCAUUCAAAAUGUUGGUGCUGACCUUUAAAGCCCUAAACGGCCCGGCCCAGUAUACCUGAAGGAGCAUCUCCACCUCCAUCGUUCUGCCCGGACACUGAGGUCCAGCUCUGAGGGCCUUUUGGUGGUUCCCUCCCUGCGAGAAGCCAAGCUACAGGGAAGCAGGCAGAGGGCCUUCUUGGUGGUGGCACCCGCCCUGUGGAACGCCCUUCAGAUGUCAAUGAAAUAAACAACUACCAGACUUUUAGAAGACAUCUGAAGGCAGCCCUGUGAUCUUCUCAUGUUCUUACGAACUAAACAGGCCUUGGAUUGGAUGUGGCAAGGCUGUUCUCAAAGCCAGGAUGACUCGGACAAACUUCUGCCUCAUUGCUGAGGCUCACAUGUCUCUACAGCAGCAAGCGCCCUAGGAGAAUAGGCAGUUUCCAUGGCAGGCCUCUUGCCAGCUAUGGAAAGUGCUCAGUGGGGUUGACUUAACCCAGUUUCUCGUUAGGAAACGUGCCUAAUUAAGACCAGGCUCCUUCCUAAUAAUCAACCUCGGCUUUAUGGAGGGGAGACGACUUCAUAGCAAUGUCUUUGUUGAUACAUAAUAGAUAAUAUCCGGAGAACUCUGCCCCUGUUAGGAUAUAGCAAAUAGCUGGAGUCUGCACAAAAAAAACCACAAAAAAAAAACAUCACAGACUGAUGUUUCCUUUUGUACUUCUGCAAUUCCCAACCAAAUAAUUUGCCUGUUUUUUGCUCCCAAAUGUGACCUGUGAUGUGGGAGAAAAGAAACUGAAGGCAAGUGAAGAGCUCUUUAAACAGAGCAUGCGAGUCUUAAUCUCAGGGUUGUGGGUUUGAGCCUGUGAUGGCCUGGGACUCAGGCUAGGACUCGGAACCAGAGGAGUCUCAGUCCACACCGGAUCCUUUGCCUCGGGCAUCAUCGGAACCAAGUCUGGGGCCUGAUCCCAGUCUGCACAGGUUCCCCUGCAACAAACUCCAGCUGGGCCAAGUCAGGGGCCUGAGCCUGCCCUGGCUCCAGUUGCGGGAAUGACCUCGUUGCCUUCAGCUGGGCCAUCACUUACAGCUGCUCCACUACCGGUUGCGUCAGGGGAGGCUGAGGCAGCCCAUGGGUCUAGUAACCCACCGACGUCUGAUCAAGUCCAGUGAUGCUUCUUGAUCCACAGAAAAGACUUCUGGGUCACUUUUGCUUACUGACCCUGAGCACCCAAGAGACUUGCAUACCUUCCAACAUUUCUCCAAUGAAAAUAAGGAUGCCCUGUUCCAUUAUUAUUGAUAUUAGUAGUAGUAGUAACAGUGUCCCUGAAGGACCAGGUGUGCAUCCUGUGGGUCAUUUUGGACUCACAGCUGUCCAUGGAAGUGCAGGUCAAUUCUGUGUCCAGGGCUCUACCAGUUCCAUCUGGUACAUGUGCUGAGACCCUCCCUGCCCACAGACUGUCUGGCCAGAGUGGUGCAUGCUCUGUUUAUCUCCCGCUUGGACUACUGCAAUGCACUCUACGUGGGGCUACCUUUGAAGGUGACUUGGAAACUGCAACUAAUCCAGAAUGCGGCAGCUAGACUGGUGACUGGGAGUGGCCACGGAGACCAUAUAACACCAGUCCUGAGAGAUCUGCAUUGAUUCCCAAUAUGUUUCCUAGCACAAUUCAAAGUGUUGGUGCUUUAAAGCCCUAAAUGGCCUCAGCCCAGUAUAGCGUCUCCACCCCCAUCGUUCAGCCUGGACACUGAGGUCCAGCUCCAAGGGCCUUCUGGCAGUUCCCUCCCUGCGAGAAGCCAAGUUACAGGGAACCAGGCAGAGGGCCUUCUCGGUAGUGGCGCCUGCCCUGUGGAACGCCCUCCCAUCAGAUGUCAAUGAAAUAAACAACUAUCCCACUUUUAGAAGACAUCCGAAGGCAGCCCUGUUUAGGGGGGAUUUUAAUGUUUUAUGUUUUAUUGCUUUAUUAUUAUUAAUAAUAAUGUUCUCUUGGGAGCUGCCCAGAGUGGCUGGGGAAACCCAGCCAGAUGGGUGGGGUAAAAAUAAUAAAUUUUCUUCUUCUUCUUCUUCCUCUUCUUCUUCAUACCCUGCCCAUCUACCUAGGUUGCCCCAGCCACCGUCGGCAGCUUCCAACAUAUGUAAAAACAUAAUAAAACAGUAAACAUUCAAAAACUUCCCUAUACAGAGUUGCCUUCAGACAGGUAGGGAGUCAAAUCCUUCAACACGUCUCUGAUGAAAAUAGGAACGUCCAUUGAAAAGCGUGGCAUUCUGGGAUCAAAUCAGAAACUGGGACGGCUUCUGUAAAUCCGGGACUGUCCCUGCAAAACUUUGAAGGUCUGGACCUGUUUUUGCAGGUGAUAAAUUUCUGCCUGGCGACACAAGAGACCAACUAAUGAACAAGCGAAGUCAGUCCUUGCCUGCUGCCUGCGAUCCCUCGUUGCUUCUGACCUGUGUGCAUUCGUUGGCAUGGAGUCAGCUCCGAGCUUUGCCUCUCAUUAAAUAAGAGAAACGUUUCAUGCAACCCGUUAACGAAGUGGCAGCAAGGUCAGACAAUGGGCGACUUCUUCCUUUUCACGCCUCUCAGACACCCCCAUUCCCCAGCUGCUCGCAGUUCGGAAGGCAGGCAAAAUUAGCCUCUCUCGAGUUUCCAUGGCAAGUAAUAAGCCGUGUUAUCUGGACAUCGCCUUCUUUUCAUUUCAGCGAAGUCUUCAGCGCUGGGGCAAAGAUGGCUGCUUUGCUUUGGAGCCUUGGAAAUGGAUUCUGAAAGCAAGACUCGGCCGUUGCCACAAAGCAAUUCAUUAGCCUGCCUCUGAGGUAUCUUUUAACUCC